GACGAACGCUGGCGGCGUGCUUAACACAUGCAAGUCGAACGGUGAACGAGGGAGCUUGCUCCCUCCGGAUCAGUGGCGAACGGGUGAGUAACACGUGAGCAAUCUGCCCCGAACUCUGGGAUAAGCGUUGGAAACGACGUCUAAUACCGGAUACGACGCGGGAGGGCAUCCUCUCCGCGUGGAAAGAACUUCGGUUCGGGAUGAGCUCGCGGCCUAUCAGCUUGUUGGUGAGGUCACGGCUCACCAAGGCGACGACGGGUAGCCGGCCUGAGAGGGUGACCGGCCACACUGGGACUGAGACACGGCGCAGACUCCUACGGGAGGCAGCAGUGGGGAAUAUUGCACAAUGGGCGCAAGCCUGAUGCAGCAACGCCGCGUGAGGGAAGACGGCCUUCGGGUUGUAAACCUCUUUUAGCAAGGAAGAAGCGAAAGUGACGGUACCUGCAGAAAAAGCACCGGCUAACUACGUG
rnacentral:rRNA from 1 species